UGGGGAAUUUUGGACAAUGGGGGCAACCCUGAUCCAGCCAUGCCGCGUGAGUGAAGAAGGCCUUCGGGUUGUAAAGCUCUUUCGGCGGGGACGAAACGGUCCGUGACAACACCACGGACUAAUGACAGUACUCGCAGAAGAAGCACCGGCUAACUACGUGCCAGCAGCCGCGGUAAUACGUAGGGUGCGAGCGUUAAUCGGAAUUACUGGGCGUAAAGCGUGCGCAGGCGGUUUGGUAAGACAGAUGUGAAAUCCCCGGGCUUAACCUGGGAACUGCAUUUGUGACUGCCAGACUAGAGUGUAGCAGAGGGGGGUAGAAUUCCACGUGUAGCAGUGAAAUGCGUAGAUAUGUGGAGGAAUACCGAUGGCGAAGGCAGCCCCCUGGGCUAACACUGACGCUCAUGCACGAAAGCGUGGGGAGCAAACAGGAUUAGAUACCCAGGUAGUCCCUGAGCGGGCUGGCAAGGCGCAU
rnacentral:rRNA from 1 species